AAUCAACGCUGGCGGCGUGCCUCAGACAUGCAAGUCGAACGAUUAAACUUUCCUUCGGGAAAGAUAUAAAGUGGCGUACGGGUGAGUAACACGUAAGUAAUCUACCUUUGAGUGGGGAAUAACUUAAGGAAACUUAAGCUAAUACCGCAUAAUGCAGCGGCAUCAUAUGAUGACAGUUGUUAAAGAAUUUAUUCGCUUAAAGAGGAGCUUGCGGCAGAUUAGCUAGUUGGUAAGGUAAUGGCUUACCAAGGCAACGAUCUGUAGCCGACCUGAGAGGGUGGUCGGUCACACUGACACUGAAUAACGGGUCAGACUCCUACGGGAGGCAGCAGUCGGGAAUUUUGUGCAAUGGGGGAAACCCUGACACAGCAACGCCGCGUGAAGGAUGAAGUCUUUCGGGAUGUAAACUUCGGAAAUAUAGGAAGAAUAAAUGACGGUACUAUAUCUAAGGUCCGGCUAACUACGUGCCAGCAGCCGCGGUAAUACGUAGGGACCAAGCGUGUCGGAUUUACUGGGCGUAACAGGGUGCCGUAGGCGGCCGUGAUAAGUCACUUGUGAAAUCUCCGNAGCUUAACUCGGAACUGCCAAGUGAUACUAUUGUGCUAAGAGUUACAGGAAAAGGGUUAACCUGCGAAAUUCCUUGGGUGUAGCGGGUGAAAUGCNUUAGGAUAUCAAGAAGGAACACCCUGAAGGGCNAGGGCGAGUUACUAGGGUUGGAAUACU
rnacentral:rRNA from 1 species